CCUACGGGUGGCUGCAGUGGGGAAUAUUGGACAAUGGGGGGAACCCUGAUCCAGCCAUGCCGCGUGUGUGAAGAAGGCCCUCGGGUUGUAAAGCACUUUCAGUGAGGAAGAACGCCUGGUGGUUAAUACCCAUCAGGAAAGACAUCACUCACAGAAGAAGCACCGGCUAACUCCGUGCCAGCAGCCGCGGUAAUACGGAGGGUGCGAGCAUUAAUCGGAAUUACUGGGCGUAAAGCGCGCGUAGGUGGCUUGAUAAGCCGGUUGUGAAAGCCCCGGGCUCAACCUGGGAACGGCAUCCGGAACUGUCAAGCUAGAGUGCAGGAGAGGAAGGUAGAAUUCCCGGUGUAGCGGUGAAAUGCGUAGAGAUCGGGAGGAAUACCAGUGGCGAAGGCGGCCUUCUGGACUGACACUGACACUGAGGUGCGAAAGCGUGGGUAGCAAACAGGAUUAGAUACCCUAGUAGUC
rnacentral:rRNA from 1 species